ensembl:misc_RNA 7SK 7SK RNA
GGAUGUGAAGGUGAUCUGGCUGCAACAUCUGUCACCCCAUUGAUCAGCCGGGUUGAUUGGGCAGAUCUGACUGGCUAUAGGUGGGGGUGUCCCUUUCCUCCGUCAGUGCUCCAUGUGCGUCCCUCCUGGAGCUGCACACUCUGUCACAGAGUGACCUCUGAUGGUACUGUUUGUUGCUCAAGGGUGUACAGUAGCCCUGCUCCCCUGCUAGAACCUCCCAAUGAGCUCAAGAUUUAUGGCUAUUUGUGUUCUAACGGCAGUUUCUCUAAUGACUUUUCAGUCACUGGAGCUGCCAGAGAUCUAAUAAA